rnacentral:rRNA from 1 species
UACGUAGGGGGGCAAGCGUUGUCCGGAAUUAUUGGGCGUAAAGAGCGUGUAGGCGGUCCGGUAAGUCAGCUGUGAAAGUCAAGGGCUCAACCCUUGAAAGCCGGUUGAUACUGUCGGGCUAGAGUCCGGAAGAGGAGAGUGGAAUUCCCGGUGUAGCGGUGAAAUGCGCAGAUAUCGGGAGGAACACCAAUGGCGAAGGCAGCUCGCUGGGACGGUACUGACGCUGAGACGCGAAAAGCGUGGGGGAGCGA